AACUCAAUUGCGCAUGAAUUAAUGCUGCAAAUGCAACACCUCGAGUGUCACUAUGAUGUUUAACUGGAAAGCAACCUCCUCCUCCUGGACGGGAAUCCAACACCUCGAGUGAAAAUUUGCGACUUUGUUUACUCAAAGGUGUGAUAGUUAUGUUUCCUGGAUUGCUAGAGUUGAUAUGACUUUGACUACUUGAUCAAAUUAUGGCAUCAAGGUUUCAGUCUGAUUUGCUGCAUUCCAAACAAAAAAACAACCUUUGGUACUCCCAACAUACAUAGCACCCGAAGUUUUUCCGAGAAAAGAAUAACAAGGUUUAUUUAACCCUGACACACCUUGCCAUUGUCAUGAAAUAUGAUGCCGGUGGAGAACUCUUUAAAUGAAUAUGUACCGCAUGGUGAUUCAGUGAAGUUGAGGAAAGUUACUUCUUUCAGCAAUUACUUUCAGGGGUCAGCUACUGCCAUUCUCCAUGCUACGCUUUGCUUUUUGAAAAUCGUCAAAGGAAACAAAUGCAAAACUCAAUUGCGCAUGAAUUAAUGCUGCAAAUGCAACACCUCG